UAAUACAGAGGGAGCUAGCGUUGUUCGGAAUUACUGGGCGUAAAGCGCGCGCAGGCGGCCAUUUAAGUCAGAUGUGAAAGCCCGGGGCUUAACCUCGGAACUGCAUUUGAAACUGAGUGGCUAGAGUAUGGUAGGGGAGAGGGGAAUUCCUAGUGUAGCGGUGAAAUGCGUAGAGAUUAGGAGGAACACCAGUGGCGAAGGCGCCUCUCUGGGCCAUUACUGACGCUGAGGCGCGAAAGCGUGGGGAGCAAACAGG
rnacentral:rRNA from 1 species